rnacentral:lncRNA from 1 species
GGUGUUGGGUUCUGGGUAUGACAGAAUGGUAUCAGAGCUUAGGAUAUGAUUAUUAGGGAUUAUGAUAUACGUGAUAGGAUAUGAUGGAAUAAUAUUAGAGCUUAGGUUUAAGAUCACUAAGAUUAUGAAGUGAUAUCAAAACUUUAUGUAAGAUCAAUAGGAUGUGACAGAGUGAUAUCUGAGCUUAGAGCUUAGGUUAUGUUCAUUUGAAGAUAAUGAUACAAGUGAUUAGGAUAUGACAGACAAUAACUAGAGCUCAGAUUUAAGGUCACUAGGGAUUGUCAUAUAAGUGAUAUCAAAAUUUUGGGAUUAUAAUCAAUAGAGUAUGAUAGAUAAUAUCAGAGUUUAAGGUUAUAAUUAUUAAGGAUGUAAUAGAAUGAUAUUAUAGUUUAGGUUAUGAUCAUCAAAAAAUAUGAUUUAAGUGGUAUUUAAGCUUAAGAUUAUAAUUAUUUAAAAUUAUGACUUUAGUGAUAUUUAAACUUAGGUUAUGAUCAUGAGGAACAUGAUAGAUAUAAAAG